CUAUUGCUUCUACGCUAAAGACUUGUGCAGCAUGUUACUGUACUGAAUACGGCAGGCAAUUGUAAUACAAUGGCUACAGCUUGCAUCAGACCAGCAAUGAGCUUGUGUGCUGAAACAACAAAUCUGAAACACGAUUAUGACUGCCAUCACCUUGCAGUUAACCAAUAGUAAUGGAAUUCCUUUCUGGAUCACGAGGUCAAGAGUUCAAGACUAGCCUGACCAACAUGAGUUUCACACUUGUCGCCCAGACUGG
rnacentral:lncRNA from 10 species